AAGGUUCUAGAACAUGGUUCACAAUGGACCUAUCAUUCACUAUAAUGCAGAUCCAUAGGGAGUAGUAUAUCAGAACACCAGAAAACGUGAUAUAGAAAGUAGAACAGGAAAAUUCAUCGUCAUAAUGAAAUGAAAGAGAAUGAAGACCACACAUAGUUGACACUGGGCUGAAUAUGAGCCACUAGAUUGGAGUAUCAUAGAAUAUCCUGGGCUGAGGUUUAUAGCUUUGCAGGUUGAUGUUGGGGAUGACAUUGGUAUUUGACUUAUUCUCUGAGUUGGAUCAAUCUUAGUCUGAAGCUAGAAUGAAAUGAGAUACGAGUAUUCCAUCAAAUAGCUAACAAAAGGAUGUUUGUCUACCCAUGGAGUUGGGUAGUGAAGUUUGGUAGGAGCACAAUAAGUUUUUCAUUCAGGGAACUAUGUGAAAGACUGGGUUCUCUGGAGGACAAAGCAUGGUAUGAAACUAUUAGUCCUUUACUCUAGGCUGUGUAUGACCUUAGACUAGACACUCCUUUCCAUGUUUUAAUUUUGGCACAAAUAAAAUGGGAAUUGGAAUGGCUGCCA
rnacentral:lncRNA from 1 species